AUCCAGAUGAUGAGUCCCAAAUAAGACGAAACGCCAGUCCCGAAU
rnacentral:hammerhead_ribozyme from 1 species